rnacentral:lncRNA from 1 species
GCGCCUGAAGCUCGUUUUCUGUGCCUGGGGCGCAUUUCCGGACAAGUAACACUGUCCAGGCGGGCUUGGAGCGUGUUUCCUGCGCCUGGGGCGCGCGACGCACAUCAACAUUCAUAAAAACACAAUUUUUCACUGUUUUAGGGAUCUAUUUAACUCUUGUGAAGUUGGGAGACUUGUGCCCUAACAUAGAAACUCAUAGACGGCCGUUUCUAACAUCAUUGGAGCUGUUUUAUCAAGAAUCAUUCAUGAAUUCUUUUUGUAAUUCUUCUCUAAUCUCUAUAUUUUUUUAUCUCAUCGAGUAACUAAAC